rnacentral:ncRNA from 1 species
AGGAGAUUGAUUCCUGCUCUGAUUUAUCAUUAUUAGAUGGGUUGAAUAUGCGAGGUUUUUAAAGGUUUGGUGAAUGCAAUCUUUAGUUUUACACUUAUGUAAUAAUUUACGAUGUAGCUAAUUUAUUUAGAGUUGGCUAAUUUUGUGCCAGCAGCUGCGGUUAAACAAUUGACUCUAGUGAUAAUUUUCUGGCUGUAUUUAUGUUUAUUUAUUUGGAUCGAAUUGUUUAUUGUUAGGUGGAAUUUUAAUUUUACUUGAGUUUUUGGAUACUAAUUAUACGAAAACUGUUUUUAAACUAGGAUUAGAUACCCUAUUAUUGCAGUUGUAUUUUUUAGCCAUUAAGAUUAAUAGUAGGAUCUUUAAAUUAAGGGGAUUUGGCGGUAAUUUAAUCUUAUCAGAGGAACCUGUUUGUUGAAUUGAUGAACCACGAGGUAUUUUACUUCUAUUUUGCUUGUAUACCUCUAUUUAUUGAGUAUCUUAUUAGGGUAUUCUCUUUAAUCAUUUGUUUGAUGAAUUUUAGGUCAAGGUGCAGCCGUGUAGAAGGCGGAAUGGGUUACAAUUUUUUUAUAAUUGGAUUAAGUUUUUGAGGAAUUUAUGAAAUAGGAUUUGAAAGUAAUACUCAUUAUCUUAUGAGUGUGACUUUAGCUCUAGUUUAUGCACAUAUCGCCCGUCACUCUCGCUUACUAAGGUGAGAUAAGUCGUAACAAAGUAGACUUACCGGAAGGUGAGUCUGGUUUUAUUAU